rnacentral:tRNA from 1 species
GCCUGAGUGGCUCAGUCGGUGAAGCUUCUGACUUCAGCUCAGGUCGUGAUCUCGCGGUUGUGAGUUCAAGCCCCGUGUCGGGCU